rnacentral:tRNA from 1 species
CAUAAAAUUAGUUUAAAUAAAACAUUGAGUUGUGGUCUCAAAAAUAAAUUCACUUUAUUUUAU